CAAGUUGCUAGCGUGUUUCUAACAUGAUUAGCAAGUUGCUAGCAUGUUUCUAACAUGAUUAGCAAGUUGCUAGCAUAUUUCUAGCAUGAUUAAAAAGUUGCUAGUAUGUUUCUGGCAUGAUUAGCAAGCUGUUAGCCUGUUUCUAGCAUGAUUAACAAAUCGCUAGCAUGUUUC